rnacentral:rRNA from 1 species
GCUACGGGAGGCAGCAGUGAGGAAUAUUGGUCAAUGGGCUUACGCCUGAACCAGCCAAGUCGCGUGAGGGAAGACUGCCCUAUGGGUUGUAAACCUCUUUUGUCAGGGAGCAAUUGGCGCUACGUGUAGCGUUAUCGAGAGUACCUGAAGAAAAAGCAUCGGCUAACUCCGUGCCAGCAGCCGCGGUAAUACGGAGGAUGCGAGCGUUAUCCGGAUUUAUGGGGUUUAAAGGGUGCGUAGGCGGAAUGCCAAGUCAGCGGUAAAAUCGCGGGGCUCAACCUGGCGCCGCCGUUGAAACUGGCGUUCUUGAGUGGGCGAGAAGUAUGCGGAAUGCGUGGUGUAGCGGUGAAAUGCGUAGAUAUACGGAGGAACACCAGUGGCGAAGGCGGAUUGCUGGACAGUAACUGACGCUGAGGCACGAAAGCGUGGGGAGCAAACAGGAUUAGAUACCCGGGUAGUC